ensembl:rRNA 5S_rRNA 5S ribosomal RNA
GUCUAUGGCCACCCUGAAUGCACCCUAUCUCCUCUGAUCUCGGAAGCUAAGCAGAGUCAGGCCUGGUUAGUACUUGGCUGGGAGAAAUUAAAUACCAUUUACA